UUUCAUAAAAAAAAAAAAAUCAAACUAAACCAAAUUAAGAGAUAAAUCAAUCAAACUAAAUUAUUCUGGUUUAGUACGGUUCGGUUCAAACCGUUGGUAUGCUCUCAAGCGCCCAAUUUCUUGCCCAAAUCUCAAAUCCCUGGUUUCUUCCUCAAAUAGUUAUCAAAGGUGUGCAGCAAGGUGCAUUGGACACCGGGUUAGUGCCUCAUCCAGGGAAAGCUGGGUGACCUCACCCAGGCACAGUAAGAAGCUAGAUGCGCCUAGGCACCCCCAAGUGAGGUGAAGGCACAAACAUGCAUCGCAAAAGUUCAUGCAACCCUGAAAAACGAAGAAAAAGAAGACAAUCUGGCUGUUACCUACCCUAACGUGGUUGUUUAGUGUUUACAUUGGCUUUAUAUGGCUGUAUUUUAUAGUAAUGAUGGGUCGAGCUUAAUGGCUUUGUUAUAUGGCUGUGUUGUGUGGUGAUUGUGAGCUUAGUGAGCUUAAUGGUUGUUGGG
rnacentral:misc_RNA from 1 species